rnacentral:rRNA from 1 species
UACGAAGGGGGCUAGCGUUGUUCGGAAUUACUGGGCGUAAAGCGCGCGCAGGCGGCUUUCCAAGUCAGUGGUGAAAGCCCGGAGCUCAACUCCGGAAUUGCCUUUAAGACUGCAUCGCUAGAAUCAUGGAGAGGUGAGUGGAAUUCCGAGUGUAGAGGUGAAAUUCGUAGAUAUUCGGAAGAACACCAGUGGCGAAGGCGACUCACUGGACAUGUAUUGACGCUGAGGUGCGAAAGCGUGGGGAGCAAACAGGG